AAAAAUUGUAAAAUAAUGAAACAUACUUGAACAUUUCUCAUUUUUGGCAACUCUGGCAGGAUAAAAUAAUGUAAUUGGCAGCCCAUCACUGUCAGUGACAGUUGUAAAAAAGUUUACAACUCGUUUCGAAUGCCGUCACCGAUCCCGCAAAACAAAAAAAUCCAAGCGAGUUUCUGCCAAGGUUUCUGCCAACGAUAGGGACCCUCAUAUGAAGAGGAAAUCCACACACAACUUUAGCAGUGGCACCAGGUCAACAAAAAAUAUCGAUUCGGCGAACGAGAAGACAUCAUGCUGCAGCACAUUGAGCGGGUUUGUUAUCAAAAGAUACCAGGGUGUUGAUGAAUUACGGCUUUAUUAUGACCGGGGAGUGCCGGAUAACGCAGAGGCUGUAAAAUUCAGCCACGAACGGAACACCGAGGGACACAUGACCGGCCUCUUUCGAAUUGGUGGGUUGCGCCGGGUUACGCUUUUUCUAACCCGGACAACAAGAGCAUAUAUAUGAUAGUAUGACGAGGAAUCGGACCGAAAUCUAAAUUAUAAAAUCUGAAAACAAAAAUAAAAUGACAACAAUAAAUAAAUGAAAUAAGAAGAAA